AAAAGAAACUAACAAGGAUUCCCUUAGUAACGGCGAGUGAAGCGGGAAGAAGCUCAAAUUUAAAAUCUGGCCGGGUUACCGGUCCGAGUUGUAGUUUAUAGAAGUGUUUUCGGCGGCAACCUGGGUACAAGUCCUUUGGAACAGGGCAUCAUAGAGGGUGAGAAUCCCGUCCAUGACCCAGUGGAUGCUGCUAUGUGAUACACUUUCAAAGAGUCGAGUUGUUUGGGAUUGCAGCUCAAAAUGGGUGGUAAAUUUCAUCUAAAGCUAAAUACAGGCGAGAGACCGAUAGCGAACAAGUACCGUGAGGGAAAGAUGAAAAGAACUUUGAAAAGAGAGUUAAACAGUGCGUGAAAUUGUUGAAAGGGAAACGUUUGGCACCAGUCAUGCGUUCAGGAAAUCAGUCUAUCGAGGUGGGGAGUGGCAGGAGUUUGGACCGCAAGGCCAACUUUUGUUGCAUUUCUAUUUGGAUGGAUGCACUUUUCUGUAUGCAGGUCAACAUCAGUUUUGUUCGCCGGACAAAACCCCAAGGGAAUGUGGCAGCUUUGGCUGUGUUAUAGCUCUGGGGCGAUACGGUGGACGAGACUGAGGCUUUCAGUGUGUGCUCUCGGGCAAGGCUGACCGGGUGCUAUGAGCCAGUACGGGGUACAAUACAUGUAUUUUGCUUCGUGUCUGGCUUGUACUCGCUCGAAUCAGCUCUUCCACGCUUAGGAUGUUGACAUAAUGGUUCUAAAC
rnacentral:rRNA from 2 species